UGAGGAAUAUUGGUCAAUGGGCGGGAGCCUGAACCAGCCAAGCCGCGUGAGGGAUGAAGGCCCUAUGGGUAGUAAACCUCUUUUGUCAGGGAACAAAAGCGAGUAUGUAUACUAGUCUGAGUGUACCUGAAGAAAAAGCAUCGGCUAACUCCGUGCCAGCAGCCGCGGUAAUACGGAGGAUGCGAGCGUUAUCCGGAUUUAUUGGGUUUAAAGGGUGCGUAGGCGGCGGUGCAAGUCAGCGGUAAAAGCCCGGGGCUCAACCCCGGCGAGCCGUUGAAACUGCAGUGCUAGAGAAGGCGAGAGGUACGCGGAAUGCGCAGUGUAGCGGUGAAAUGCUUAGAUAUUGCGCAGAACUCCGAUUGCGAAGGCAGCGUACUGGCGCCUGACUGACGCUGAGGCACGAAAGCGUGGGGAUCGAACAGGAUUAGAUACC
rnacentral:rRNA from 1 species